UACAGAGGUCUCAAGCGUUGUUCGGAUUCAUUGGGCGUAAAGGGUGCGUAGGUGGCAUGGUAAGUCGGAUGUGAAAUCCCGGGGCUCAACCCCGGAACUGCAUUCGAUACUGCUGCGCUAGAGUACUGGAGAGGAGAUUGGAAUUUACGGUGUAGCAGUGAAAUGCGUAGAUAUCGUAAGGAAGACCAGUGGCGAAGGCGGAUCUCUGGACAGUUACUGACACUGAGACGCGAAAGCGUGGGGAGCAAACAGG
rnacentral:rRNA from 1 species